rnacentral:rRNA from 1 species
CCUACGGGAGGCAGCAGUGGGGAAUAUUGCACAAUGGGGGAAACCCUGAUGCAGCGACGCCGCGUGAGUGAAGAAGUAAUUCGUUAUGUAAAGCUCUAUCAGCAGGGAAGAAAAUGACGGUACCUGAGUAAGCAGCCCCGGCUAACUAGGUGCCAGCAGCCGCGGUAAUAAGUAGGGGGCAGGCGUUAUCCGGAUUUACUGGGUGUAAAGGGAGCGUAGACGGCAGUGCAAGUCUGGAGUGAAAGGCGGGGGCUCAACCCCCGGACUGCUCUGGAAACUGUACGGCUGGAGUGCAGGAGAGGCAAGUGGAAUUCCUAGUGUAGCGGUGAAAUGCGGAGAUAUUAGGAGGAACACCAGUGGCGAAGGCGGCUUACUGGACUGUAACUGACGUUGAGGCUCGAAAGCGUGGGGAGCAAACAGGAUUAGAUACCCCAGUAGUC